rnacentral:rRNA from 1 species
UACAGAGGUCUCAACCGUUGUUCGGAUUCAUUGGGCGUAAAGCGCGUGUAGGCGGCCAGGUAGGUCGGAUGUGAAAACUGGAGGCUCAACCUCCAGCUGUCAUCCGAAACCAUCUGGCUAGAGUCCGGAAGAGGAGAGUGGAAUUCCUGGUGUAGCGGUGAAAUGCGCAGAUAUCAGGAAGAACACCUAUGGCGAAGGCAGCUCUCUGGGACGGUACUGACGCUGAGACGCGAAAGCGUGGGGAGCGAACAGG